AUUGAACGCUGGCGGCAGGCCUAACACAUGCAAGUCGAACGAGUGGCGGACGGGUGAGUAAUGUAUGGGAAACUGCCUGAUGGAGGGGAUAACUACUGGAAACGGUAGCUAAUACCGCAUACCAUCGAAUGUGCCCAGAUGGGAUUAGCUAGUAGGUGGGGUAAAGGCUCACCUAGGCGACGAUCCCUAGCUGGUCUGAGAGGAUGACCAGGAACAGUUGAAAGGGGAGAAGUGCCAGCAGUCGAACGGAGGCAGGGGGGGGGAAUCUUGGACAAGGGGCGGUAGCCAGAAGUAACCAAGGCGGGUGUCCGUAACAGGGCUUCGGGUUGUAAAGUACUUUCAGCGGGGAGGCGUUACCCGAAGAAGAAGCACCGGCUAACUCCGUGCCAGCAGCCGCGGUAAUUC
rnacentral:rRNA from 1 species